UUAGAAAAAAAAAAAAUUUUAUCAAUAUCUGUUUUUUAUUUUUUUUAUUCUGCUAUUUACAAAUCUACAUUUUAUCCUUUUAAAAAACAAAAAAUAUUUAUUUCGAUUUUCGUCGUCAGCAUUUCGUUAAGAUUUCGUUUAUAUCUUAAUUUUUAUACUUAAAAUACUCCUGAAACUUUCAUCCAUGACCACACAUAUGCCGUCGGCCGCCGCCUCGCCCUCGCUCACCUUUCUGUCCAUACCCACACGCAUGCCCUUGCCCUCCUCAGCUGCCUCACCCUCACACUCGCCCACCUUUCCGUCCACACCCACCCCGAUCUUCUUCCUAUAGUCACCAAAAUAAGGAGCAACGAGGGUGCUGGAGGAACCGGGGAGUAGGUGGAGGAAAUGAAGUCGGAGUUAGGGUCGAGGGAGGCGCAAAGAACGGAGGAGGAGAGGCUGCGGUUACGGCGGAGAAGCUUCGGAUGGAAAAGGAGACGAAGAGGAUAAAGGACAAUUUGAUUAUUUUGUCAUAGUACAUUCACCCGUAAAUAUUUUUUAUUUUUAAAAAGACAAAGUGUAGGUUUUUGAAUGAUAUAGAAGAAAAGUGAAACAACGGAUAUUGAUAUUUGAUAGAAAAAUUUUCUGUAAUUUAAUCUUUUUUUUUUUAUUGUGAUCUAUUUGUUUGUUCUUUUCUUUGAAAAAAGAAAAAAAAAACUCAAAAAAAAGGGAUAAUUGCCUAUGUACCCCUCAUGCGUCUAAAAAUAUCCGAUCUACCCUACUUUUUUUUUCAUUCUAAAAUGCCCCUCAUAUGGUCCACCGUUAUUCCAAAAUACUCCCGCAGUUAUUCCCUGUUAGCUUAAUUCGAGUUAAACAUGAUUUAAAUAUAUACUAGAGUUAAAAUCUAUAUAAAAUAUCUAUUUUACCCUUAUCUUAUUAUGUUAAUUCCUUAAGUUAUCCUCUUUCUUUCCCAACGUGAUCACCGGCUCCUCCGCUUCCACCUCGCCUCAUCUCCUCCCAGAUCACCACCACCUCCCAGACCACCACCCCUCUCGCCGCUCUCGUCGUCCUCCACCUCCGCCGCCGCCUUGGCCGGCACCGGCUCCUCCGCCGCCGCCUU
rnacentral:lncRNA from 1 species